CUACGGGGGGCUCCAGUUAGGAAUAAUCUACAAUGCGCGCAAGCGUGAUAGUUUGAGCCAGAGUGUUUUUCUAUUUGAAAAGCUUUUGCCGAAUGUAAAAAGUUCGGCGAAUAAGGACUGGGUAAGACGAGUGCCAGCCGCCGCGGUAAUACUCGCGGUCCAAGUCGCAGCCAUUUUUAUUGGGUCUAAAACAUCCGUAGCUUGCUUGAUAAGUUUCCUGUGAAAUCCGGCUUCUUAAGAGUUGGGCGGGCAGGAAGUACUGUUAAGCUAGAGACUGGGAGACGUAAGAAGUACGUUUAAAGUAACGGUAAAAUGUGUUAAUCUUAAACGGACUCACAACAGCGAAGGCAUCUUACGAGAACAGUUCUGACAGUCAGGGAUGAAGGCUAGGGGCGCAAAACGGAUUAGAUACCCUGGUAGUC
rnacentral:rRNA from 1 species